GCAAGUCGAACGGAGGUUAUCGAGAGCUUGCUUUGUAUAACUUAGUGGCGGACGGGUGAGUAACACGUGAGCAAUCUGCCCUUAAGAGGGGGAGUAGCAGUUGGAAACGACUGAUAAUACCGCAUAAGAUAGUAGUACCGCAUGGUACAGCUAUAAAAGAUUUAUCGCUUAAGGAUGAGCUCGCGUCUGAUUAGCUAGUUGGUGAGGUAACGGCUCACCAAGGCAACGAUCAGUAGCCGGACUGAGAGGUUGGACGGCCACAUUGGGACUGAGACACGGCCCAGACUCCUACGGGAGGCAGCAGUGGGGAAUAUUGCACAAUGGAGGAAACUCUGAUGCCAGCGAUGCCGCGUGAGGGAAGAAGGUUUUAGGAUUGUAAACCUCUGUUGACAGGGACGAUAAUGACGGUACCUGUUGAGGAAGCUCCGGCUAACUACGUGCCAGCCGCAGC
rnacentral:rRNA from 1 species